AAGUUUUUUCCACCUUCUAAAAACACAUAUUCACACACAGAGGCUAAUAGUUUCAAACAGAAUACCACAAACAGCAGGCAUUCCUUUAGAAAUAAACAGGGAUUCUGCAACAGUUAGCCCCCCUACAGUCAGCAGAAGAGGACAUCCUUAUCAAGAGCAUCUCAAUUGUACUGCCAUAGUUUUCAAUACAAACAGUCUCCUUUAUCUUAUGGCAGAGGUCCGGCGGUGCCAGGUCCAUCGGAGCCACCAUUACACUUUCACCUUUUAUCAUGCCAUUACACUUUGUACCGACCAUCCUCCAAACAUGGCAUCACUGUUUUGUUUACACCUUUUAUCUCUACAUCUCAGAGGUCACCUGAAACAAGCCCCACCUAUAUAAAAGGUCAUAAUCAGUCACCCUGUAUUUUCCCUCACUACAUUACAUCGGUCAUUGAGAGCAUAACACUUCGUUCAUCAGCACGGACAACAACCCUAAGAGCGUUCUUUUUAACAUGGACAGCGUAUAUGGUAGGUAAACAAGACUAUUAACGGAUUCUUAAAUUUAUACAGCUGUAUAUCAAAAAUAUUCAAACUGUUUUCUCUUCUAAACAAAAGCCUGAUUUUUAGGAACUUGGUACACAUGGACACCCCAAGCGGGACUUACACAAGGAUCACAAAGCUAUAUAGGGCAAACAACACCUCUAAAAAACACAAGGAUCAAUAAGUUGUCCAGAAAAACCUACAGAAGCGGAGGAAAUAAGACCAAGCCUUACGUUAGGGCCGAGACAGAGUACACAGCGUGUCAAGAAGCGGGGCCAUCCGGAAUAACACAGAACAAAGUCGAUCACACAACCCCUUACCACUACGGACCCCUUGAAGAUCCCUUGACGUUUUUGGAAUAUUUACGUGAUAUUGAACUCCCAGAACAACAAGAAAAACCACAACCUUUGGGCAACAUCGGAGAAUCGGAAGAAUUCUUCAUCACCGGACCGCACACACCAGCGAGUGAGUGUCUGCCUAGUGAUUUCAACGAUGUUUUCGAGUACAGUCUAUCAGAUUUCAACAUAAAUGACAUACCCGCCACACCAAAAUGUCUCAGAAACAACAGCGAUUCAGACAUAGGUUUUGAAGA